rnacentral:rRNA from 1 species
GACGAACGCUGGCGGCGUGCUUAACACAUGCAAGUCGAACGGAAAGGCCCUGCUUUUGUGGGUUGCUCGAGUGGCGAACGGGUGAGUAACACUUGAGUAACCUGCCCUUGACUUUGGGAUAACUUCAGGCAACUGGGGCUAAUACCGGAUAGGAGCUCCUGCUGCAUGGUGGGUGUUGGAACGUUUCGGCGGUUGGGGAUUGACUCGCGGCUUAUCAGCUUGUUGGUGGGGUAGUGGCUUACCAAGGCUUUGACGGGUAGCCGGCCUGAGAGGGUGACCGGCCACAUUGGGAAUGAGAUACGGCCCAGACUCCUAAGGGAGGCAGCAGUGGGGAAUAGUGCACAAUGGGCGGAAGCCUGAUGCAGCAACGCCGCGUGAGGGAUGACGGCCUUCGGGUUGUAAACCGCUUUCGCCUGUGACGAAGCGUGAGUGAAGGUAAUGGGUAAAGAAGCACCGGCUAACUACGUG